rnacentral:lncRNA from 1 species
UGGUGGUUUAUGUGGGAUCUAUUAUAGAAUCUUCUAGAAAGGCUUAGAAUGAUUAUCAUAGUAGAAUCUAUCUAUAGAAUUUUUUAAAAAGAUAGUUAUCUUGGUAGAGCCUAUUAUUAAAGAUAUUCUAGAAUAUUUUAGAAAUAAUUGAAUAAAGUAUAAAUAGCAUUGGCUUAGGUCAUUUGGACAAUCUGCCAAGUAUAGCUUUAAACUCUUUUUCUUAGUACAUUUUGGUUGCUUUUUCUUAUUCUAUUUUAUUUAAUUUUGUUUAAUUUUAUUUUCUUUUAUUAAAUCUUAUCUUUCAUAUUUCAUUUUUUUUAGUUAUUUUAAAUUUUAUUUUAGUAUGUUUGAUCUUAUAUUGUAUCAAAAACUUUGUUAUUAUGAAAUACAUAAGAUUUUAGACCUUAAAAAAUAUAGUCUUAUUUCAUUUUUUUAUUUUUGCAUAUAAUCCUUUAUCUCUUAGUUUUUGUAACACAUGACAAACAUGAAGUUUACAAUCUUUUUUGUUUUGAGAGAA